GGCGGACGCCAAGCUGGGGGGCCGCGUUCUCAGGGACAAAGGAAGCGCGGCGCCGCGUAUCAGAGUGGCGCGAACGAGCGCCUGGUGGAGAGGCCGCGCGCGCGCCCAGGCCCGCGUGUGGGACAAAGGCCCCACCUUCGGGGAACUGUUAACAAUGACCCGAGCUCUUGGAAAACACGGUUCUGCCGCCCUCGCCCGGAAUUCUGGUGCCGGGAGCAAGCAUUUUUGUUUAGCACCUGGGUAGAUCUAUUACACGUUUUGAUAAAGUAACAAAAUGUCACUGAAAUGUAAAAAGACUGACUUCGCAGAAAUUCCUCCCAGAGAGACCGCUGCAUUUCGCUAGAAGCCACUUCUUUGAAGCGCCGAGUAGAAGUCAAAACCACCUGCUUCCAAGGAAAAAUUGGCUGGGUUUGGAGCGCCUACCUGACCAGAGCCCAACUGCUGAUGAAAGGCUGAGCUCUGCCUGCAAUCAGUGCCCUUCCUCGCCGUAAUCUAAAUGAAGAAACACUUAAGAAAUUACAGAUUAGAAGGGCCACACAUUAAAGUUGUCUGAUUAGAAGCAAAGAAGUCUUCCAACCUCACUGUUUAAACAAUAUGCAGAUGACUUAGCGAAAAUCGAUUCAAGAAUGCUAACAUUUUCAUCUGUGUUAGUGGAAGAACUGGCAAGCCCCCCUCCCUUGAUCAUCAUCAAUCAGAAUAAGGAUUAAAAUAAAAAUAAUGAAAUGGAGUCUUUCAAAAAGCAAGCAGUCCUUGAUUAUCGUCACUAAUUUGACUAAUGUCACUCAUGUU
rnacentral:lncRNA from 1 species